AGAGUUUGAUCAUGGCUCAGGAUGAACGCUGGCGGCGUGCCUAAUACACGCAAGUCGAACGCUUUGUCUUUUAUUGAUCUGACGAGCUUGCUCUGAUGUGAUUUUAUCUGACAAAGAGUGGCGCACGGGUGAGUCACACGUGGGUAACCUACCUCUUUAGCAGGGGAUAACACUUGGAAACAAGUGCUAAUACCGUAUAAUACCAACAACCGCAUGGUUGUUGGUUGAAAGAUGGUUCUGCUAUCACUAAGAGAUGGACCCGCGGUGCAUUAGCUAGUUGGUAAGGUAACGGCUUACCAAGGCAAUGAUGCAUAGCCGAGUUGAGAGACUGAUCGGCCACAAUGGGACUGAGACACGGCCCAUACUCCUACGGGAGGCAGCAGUAGGGAAUCUUCCACAAUGGGCGCAAGCCUGAUGGAGCAACGCCGCGUGUGUGAUGAAGGGUUUCGACUCGUAAAACACUGUUAUAAGAGAAGAACGGCACUGAGAGUAACUGUUCAGUGUGUGACGGUAUCUUACCAGAAAGGAACGGCUAAAUACGUGCCAGCAGCCGCGGUAAUACGUAUGUUCCAAGCGUUAUCCGGAUUUAUUGGGCGUAAAGCGAGCGCAGACGGUUAUUUAAGUCUGAAGUGAAAGCCCUCAGCUCAACUGAGGAAUGGCUUUGGAAACUGGAUGACUUGAGUGCAGUAGAGGAAAGUGGAACUCCAUGUGUAGCGGUGAAAUGCGUAGAUAUAUGGAAGAACACCAGUGGCGAAGGCGGCUUUCUGGACUGUAACUGACGUUGAGGCUCGAAAGUGUGGGUAGCAAACAGGAUUAGAUACCCUGGUAGUCCACACCGUAAACGAUGAGUGC
rnacentral:rRNA from 1 species